rnacentral:rRNA from 1 species
CCUACGGGUGGCAGCAGUGAGGAAUAUUGGUCAAUGGCCGGAAGGCUGAACCAGCCAAGUCGCGUGAAGGACGACGGUGCCAAGAGUUGUAAACUUCUUUUGUCCAGGGAUAAACUUAGGCUCGUGUGCCUGACUGAGAGUACUUGAAGAAUAAGGAUCGGCUAACUCCGUGCCAGCAGCCGCGGUAAUACGGAGGAUGCGAGCGUUAUCCGGAUUUAUUGGGUUUAAAGGGUGCGUAGGCGGAGGGGCAAGUCAGUGGUAAAAUUGAGGGGCUCAACCUCUUCCCGCCAUUGAAACUGGGGUUCUUGAGUGGGAGAGAAGUACGCGGAAUGCGUGGUGUAGCGGUGAAAUGCAUAGAUAUCACGCAGAACCCCGAUUGCGAAGGCAGCGUACCGGCGCCCAACUGACGCUCAUGCACGAAAGCGUGGGGAUUGAACAGGAUUAGAUACCCCUGUAGUC